CACACAGCGAAGACCAUUGGAAUCCAUCUGGGCUGGAAGCAAGCCAUUGAUCUUUGGUGAUGAAACCCGGAAAAUUCGUCUUAAAUCACUGCUGAGUAGUAUUUUCUCGAUGGGCAGGCGCACCAACCUGCUGGAACGUCCAAACAC
ensembl:ncRNA C25F9.17 ncRNA